AUGGGCGCAAGCCUGAUCCAGCUAUGCCGCGUGCGGGAAGAAGGCCUUCGGGUUGUAAACCGCUUUUGUCAGGGAAGAAACGCUCUGAGUUAAUACCUCGGGGUAAUGACGGUACCUGAAGAAUAAGCACCGGCUAACUACGUGCCAGCAGCCGCGGUAAUACGUAGGGUGCAAGCGUUAAUCGGAAUUACUGGGCGUAAAGCGUGCGCAGGCGGUUAUGCAAGACAGAUGUGAAAUCCCCGGGCUCAACCUGGGAACUGCAUUUGUGACUGCAUAGCUAGAGUACGGUAGAGGGGGAUGGAAUUCCGCGUGUAGCAGUGAAAUGCGUAGAUAUGCGGAGGAACACCGAUGGCGAAGGCAAUCCCCUGGACCUGUACUGACGCUCAUGCACGAAAGCGUGGGGAGCAAACAGGAUUAGAUACCCUGGUAGUCCACGCCCUAAACGAUGUCAACUGGUUGUUGGACGGCUUGCUGUUCAGUAACGAAGCUAACGCGUGAAGUUGACCGCCUGGGGAG
rnacentral:rRNA from 1 species